CUGGCUGCUUGUCUCCAAACAGCAACGGAAUGCCUUGGCCUGGCUGUUCAGUAAUCCCCUGCCAGCUGGCUGCCUCCCUUUCCUCUGGGAACUCAGUGAAUCACACCUCCGCAGCGCGUUUGGCUCUUGCAAGCCCUGAAGGGCUGGAGGCUUGUGCCUGCCAGCUCCGAGGAGCUGCAGCCCAACUUCUGAGCAUGGAUCAUGUCGGGACCCUGGAAUUUCUGAGCACAGGAGGCUUUCCAGCUGCAGGGGAAGAACACUCAUCUGGAGGCACUGCAGGAUUCAAAGAUACACAAGGGUAACUUGUCAGAAGAGAACAUCCUCCUAUCAGUUCAAAACA
rnacentral:lncRNA from 1 species